AGAAUUUUCAUUUUUGUUAUUUCAUCUUACAUCCCAUAGCUUAUUUUAAAAGAAUUUCAGUCCCUUCAAUUAACGUUUCAUAAAAACGUGCAUCCACAAGGAUGAAGUUGUUGAUUUUCAUCUCGUUGUUGCUUGUAUUUUCAUUGUGUUCUUCAGGGCUUGUGAAGGACGAUGAAGUUACUCAAGUCAGUCAACAUUCAUCAGACAAGGCUACAUUUAGUGUUGAGUGAAUGAUCGACUAUCCAGGCCCAUUUAAUCCAACUCCCAUAAUUGUUCGACCUCCUCACCCGCCAGUUACUGAUGAUCCGCCACCGCCACCACUACC